ACGGCUCAGUAACACGUAGUCAAUCUACCCUAUGGACGGGAAUAACCUCGGGAAACUGAGAAUAAUGCCCGAUAGAACAUUAUGCCUGGAAUGGUUUAUGUUUCAAAUGAUUUAUCGCCAUAGGAUGGGACUGCGGCCUAUCAGUUUGUUGGUGAGGUAAUGGCCCACCAAGACUAUUACAGGUACGGGCUCUGAGAGGAGUAGCCCGGAGAUGGGUACUGAGACACGGACCCAGGCCCUAUGGGGCGCAGCAGGCGAGAAAACUUUGCAAUAUGCGAAAGCACGACAAGGUUAAUCCGAGUGGUUUCUGCUAAAGAAACCUUUUGUCAGUCCUAGAAACACUAACGAAUAAGGGGUGGGCAAGUUCUGGUGUCAGCCGCCGCGGUAAAACCAGCACCUCAAGUGGUCAGGAUGAUUAUUGGGCCUAAAGCAUCCGUAGCCCGUUUUGUAAGUUUUCGGUUAAAUCCAUGCGCUUAACGUAUGGGCUGCCGGGAAUACUGCAUAACUAGGAAGUGGGAGAGGUAGACGGUACUCGGUAGGAAGGGGUAAAAUCCUUUGAUCUAUUGAUGACCACCUGUGGCGAAGGCGGUCUACCAGAACACGUUCGACGGUGAGGGAUGAAAGCUGGGGGAGCAAACCGGAUUAGAUACCCGGGUAGUCCCAGCUGUAAACUACGCAAACUCAGUGAUGCAUUGGCUUAUGGCCAAUGCAGUGCUGCAGGGAAGCCGUUAAGUUUGCCGCCUGGGAAGUACGUACGCAAGUAUGAAACUUAAAGGAAUUGGCGGGGGAGCAC
rnacentral:rRNA from 1 species